rnacentral:miRNA from 1 species
AAGGUUGUUCUAACAAGUCUGAUACAGUCAUGAUAAACAAGAAUGUUACAAGGUUGACGACACAAGGUUGUAACAAUAUUGUGAUCACGACUGUAUCGGACUUGUUGGAACAACCUU